rnacentral:rRNA from 1 species
UACGUAGGGACCAAGCGUUGUUCGGAUUUACUGGGCGUAAAGGGCGCGUAGGCGGCGUGGUAAGUCACUUGUGAAAUCUCUGAGCUUAACUCAGAACGGCCAAGUGAUACUGCUGUGCUAGAGUGUAGAAGGGGCAAUCGGAAUUCUUGGUGUAGCGGUGAAAUGCGUAGAUAUCAAGAGGAACACCUGAGGUGAAGACGGGUUGCUGGGCUGACACUGACGCUGAGGCGCGAAAGCGUGGGGAGCAAAAGGG